rnacentral:rRNA from 1 species
UACGUAGGGCGCAAGCGUUGUCCGGAAUUACUGGGCGUAAAGCGCACGUAGGCGGAUAUUUAAGUCAGGGGUGAAAUCCCGGGGCUCAACCCCGGAACUGCCUUUGAUACUGGGUAUCUGGAGUAUGGAAGAGGUGAGUGGAAUUCCGAGUGUAGAGGUGAAAUUCGUAGAUAUUCGGAGGAACACCAGUGGCGAAGGCGGCUCACUGGUCCAUUACUGACGCUGAGGCACGAAGGCCAGGGGAGCAAACGGG